rnacentral:rRNA from 1 species
AUUGAACGCUGGCGGCAGGCCUAACACAUGCAAGUCGAGCGGAUGAAGGGAGCUUGCUCCUGGAUUCAGCGGCGGACGGGUGAGUAAUGCCUAGGAAUCUGCCUGGUAGUGGGGGAUAACGUCCGGAAACGGGCGCUAAUACCGCAUACGUCCUGAGGGAGAAAGUGGGGGAUCUUCGGACCUCACGCUAUCAGAUGGGCCUAGGUCGGAUUAGCUAGUUGGUGGGGUAAAGGCCUACCAAGGCGACGAUCCGUAACUGGUCUGAGAGGAUGAUCAGUCACACUGGAACUGAGACACGGUCCAGACUCCUACGGGAGGCAGCAGUGGGGAAUAUUGGACAAUGGGCGAAAGCCUGAUCCAGCCAUGCCGCGUGUGUGAAGAAGGUCUUCGGAUUGUAAAGCACUUUAAGUUGGGAGGAAGGGCAGUAAGUUAAUACCUUGCUGUUUUGACGUUACCAACAGAGUAAGCACCGGCUAACUUCGUG